UUACGGGAAACCGGAGCUAAUACGGAUAAUAUAUUGAACCGCAUGGUUCAAUAGUGAAAGACGGUUUUGCUGUCACUUAUAGAUGGAUCCGCGCCGCAUUAGCUAGUUGGUAAGGUAACGGCUUACCAAGGCAGCGAUGCGUAGCCGACCUGANAGGGUGAUCGGCCACACUGGAACUGAGACACGGUCCAGACUCCUACGGGAGGCAGCAGCC
rnacentral:rRNA from 1 species